AGACAGGAAGGCUGGAGACAAGCCAUCACAUUACCCACUUGGCCACCCCAGCAGACAGGAAGGCUGGAGACAAGUCAUCACAUUACCCACUUGGCCACUCCAACAGACAGGAAGGUUGGAGACAAGUCAUCACAUUACCCACUUGGCCACCCCAGCAGACAAGAAGGCUGGAGACAAGUCAUCACAUUACCCACCCCAGCAGACAGGAAGGCUGGAGACAAGUCAUCACAUUACCCACUUGGCCACCCCAGCAGACAAGAAGGCUGGAGACAAGUCAUCACAUUACCCACCCCAGCAGACAGGAAGGCUGGAGACAAGUCAUCACAUUACCCACUUGGCCACCCCAGCAGACAGGAAGGCAGAAGACAAGUCAUCACAUUACCCACUUGGCCACCCCAACAUCAUAUUACCAUCAGCGGAAACCCUCCAAACCGGCUUUCUUUGGGACUAGCAAAUAAUGCUUGUAUAGAGGGUGUCGCCUACUUAGGUAAUCCUUAUCCAUACUCCUUUUAUCAGUCAACAUCAAUGAGCUUAAUGCCGAUGGUAUUCACUGUGUUGUUAAUACACGUUCGGCCAAUCAGCCAAUAAAAAGGAGAGCCGAGAUACCAGAUGCCAGUUUAGAGAGUGUUAAUAACUGUACAAACUGUCAAUUGGGCGGUCUUUGUUGUGCAGAAAUACGGAAUAGACUGACACUGGAUUGGAGGGCGUGUAAAUGAUCAUAAAUUAACUAGCUUCUGCCGGGACCA
rnacentral:misc_RNA from 1 species